rnacentral:rRNA from 1 species
UACGUAGGGUGCAAGCGUUGUCCGGAAUUAUUGGGCGUAAAGAGCUCGUAGGCGGUCUGUCGCGUCGGCUCUGAAAUCCCGGAGCUCAACUCCGGGUCUGCAGUCGAUACGGGCAGACUGGAGUUCGGCAGGGGAGACUGGAAUUCCUGGUGUAGCGGUGAAAUGCGCAGAUAUCAGGAGGAACACCGGUGGCGAAGGCGGCACUCUGGGCCGGUACUGACGCUGAGGAGCGAAAGCGUGGGGAGCAAACAGG